AGGAGCGCGAAAGGGAGUGGGAUCCCUAU
rnacentral:sRNA from 1 species